rnacentral:rRNA from 1 species
GGGGAAACCCGGACUAAUACGCCGUAACAUCUUAAAGUGGCAUCACUUAAAGAUUAAAGCUCCGGCGGUUUUGGAUGAGUGUGCGCCCCAUUAGGUAGUUGGUUGAGGUAACGGCUCACCAAGCCUGCGAUGGGUAACUGGUGUGGGAGCACGACCAGUCACACGGGCACUGAGACACGGGCCCG